CAGCCGCCACGGUAAUACGAAGGGGGCUAGCGUUGCUCGGAAUGACUGGGCGUAAAGGGCGCGUAGGCGGUUGUCAUAGUCGGGUGUGAAAUUCCUGGGCUUAACCUGGGGGCUGCAUUCGAUACGUGGCGGCUUGAGUGGGGAAGAGGGUCGUGGAAUUCCCAGUGUAGAGGUGAAAUUCGUAGAUAUUGGGAAGAACACCGGUGGCGAAGGCGGCGACCUGGUCCUUUACUGACGCUGAGGCGCGAAAGCGUGGGGAGCAAACAGGAUUAGAUACCCCAGUAGUCCCUGUCUCUUAUAC
rnacentral:rRNA from 1 species